UGUGUGUGUGUGUGUAAGUCCAAAGAAUAAGAGGAAAGAAGAGAGCACUACUCUGAGCUUUGUGAAGAAUGUGCCAGAGUAGCCCUGAGAAAAUAGGACAUUUGGAGAUAAUGGAAGGCAUAGAGCCUUUAAUCACAAAUAUUAAACAAAUGUCAAGAAAUUGUGGCUGAACCAUGAAUAGAAUGGGAUAGGAUGUCAAACUCUCAUGAAGUAUGAGAAAAGACUUGACUGGGCACUGGUGGUAGGUAUGUUUCCUUUCCCUUAUACGGGCAUCAUGGCAUUGGGAGUGUAGAGAAAAUAAAUUUCUUCCACUUGGCUUGAUAAAGGUAUUUUAAUAUUCCAAGUAAUAUAGAUGCCACUUAUGGAUGGUCAAAGUUUUGAUUAGCUUAUUAACAAAGCCUAAAAGAUUUAAUGUUACACCCAGAAUAGAGCUGGAAAGGGAUGUUGACCAGAUGAUGCAGAAAAUGAAGGCUGAAUUAGUUGAGAGAAGAGAAGUAGAAGAAAAAUGGGGCUACUUAAAUAUUCAAAGUGGGGAUGAAAAGAUGCUGCCUUCAGAUAAUGGAACACAGUUGCAUGGUUAGUUUGCUGGUCCAUGCUAUAAAUCAGACCCUCAAAAGAAUAUCUACCAAGCAUUUGGACAAGGGUAGGCAGGGGAAAGGUGAAGGUGGUGUAUGUUAUAUCCUUAUCUUUUGUAAUGGUGAAAGAUUAAAAAUUGUCUAAAGUUAAUAAGUCAAGAAAUUAUUGUUCAAACAUGUUGUUUAAAAGUAGGAAGUUAGCCACCAGAAGAUCCAAAAAUAGAUAUUAUUAAAAGCAUCUAGGAAAUGAGACUAGAGAAAGAGGGUGGGUGGGAAACCAUUUUUAUUUCAAGUUCCUCUGUACUAUUUAAAUUUUUUUACCUUGUGCAUGUAUUAUUUGGGAAAGUUUUUAAUAAACUCAAAUAAAACAUCCUU
rnacentral:lncRNA from 1 species